rnacentral:rRNA from 1 species
GUUUGAUCCUGGCUCAGGACGAACGCUGGCGGCGUGCUUAACACAUGCAAGUCGAGCGGUGAUCCUCCUUCGGGAGGUGAUCAGCGGCGAACGGGUGAGUAACACGUGGGCAACCUGCCCCUCACACUGGGAUAACCUCGGGAAACCGGGGCUAAUACCGGAUACGACCUCGAGCGGCAUCUCUUGAGGUGGAAAGCUCCGACGGUGAGGGAUGGGCCCGCGGCCUAUCAGCUUGUUGGUGGGGUAAUGGCCUACCAAGGCGACGACGGGUAGCCGGCCUGAGAGGGCGACCGGCCACACUGGGACUGAGACACGGCCCAGACUCCUACGGGAGGCAGCAGUGGGGAAUAUUGCGCAAUGGGCGAAAGCCUGACGCAGCGACGCCGCGUGAGGGAUGAAGGCCUUCGGGUUGUAAACCUCUUUCAGCAGGGACGAAGCGAAAGUGACGGUACCUGCAGAAGAAGCACCGGCUAACUACGUGCCAGCAGCCGCGGUAAUACGUAGGGUGCAAGCGUUGUCCGGAUUUAUUGGGCGUAAAGAGCUCGUAGGCGGUUUGUCGCGUCGGAUGUGAAAACCCAGGGCUCAACCCUGGGCCUGCAUUCGAUACGGGCAGACUAGAGUAUGGCAGGGGAGACUGGAAUUCCUGGUGUAGCGGUGAAAUGCGCAGAUAUCAGGAGGAACACCGGUGGCGAAGGCGGGUCUCUGGGCCAAAACUGACGCUGAGGAGCGAAAGCGUGGGGAGCGAACAGGAUUAGAUACCCUGGUAGUCCACGCC